UUCCCUAACCAGCAGCCCCCACGCGCCCAACAGUCCACGUGCCGACCGUCCUUACAUCGAUUUCGUCUCGGCUCCAAUUUCGUUUCGCUGUGUGUCGGCCUUCGUGCCGUUAUCUCGUUCCAUCUUCAUGUGUUGUGGUGUUUUAGCCUUUGUGCCUUGGUUAUUGUUGAGUGUCACUGAUUUGACAGUAUUCCGCUCCUGUCGUUAGUUCCCAACCUGCGUGCCGAUAUUAGUUCCCGGCAUGCGCACCGAUAUGAGUUCCUGGUCUGCGUACCGGUGUCUUAUCCCGGUCUGCGUACCGGUGUCUUAUCGCGGUCUGCGUACCGAUCUCGUGUCCCGGUCUGCGUACCGAUAUUAUAUCCCGAUCUGCAGCUCGUCUUCCGGAUCAGUGCAUCGUUCAGCUUCUCGUCGUCAGAUCCAGCUCUCCAUCCUGAUCGAAGUCAUCCACUCUUCCGGGUCGCGACAACUCGAGCCGCGUCCCAUCCGAGGGCGCCUCCUGGGCCAGGGCAACCAAGGGAACAUGCACUCGGAUCACAUUUGGAGUCAAAGCUAGGGCUAAAGGAAGAGAACCAAUCCAGUUUAAUCUGGACUCUUCUUUCAAAAUUUGAGGAGAUGUGAGCCAUAUAUCACUAUCUGGUCCAUCCAAGUCAAAGAGAAUAGAUCAUCACCUUGAUCUAGAUCUAAGUCUUUGGAUUAACAUCUGAACUCAUCAUCACCAUUGGAUUAGAUUUGAGGGUUACCCGUCGUUGAUUGAAAUUUGGAUCAAAGGUUUGGAUCAUUAAUUUUGAAGAGGGAGCAGAGGGCACGUGAACAACUUCACCUUGUUCCUCCGCCGAUCGUUGGCCACUGGAGCUUCAUCAACCAUCCACUUGGGUGUUAAGGACUUUUCCUUCCCUAUCCAUUCCAUCCAGCUCCGGUGUUCCAUUGGCGUUCCAUCACCUUCACAAUUUGGGGCUGCGACAUUUGACGGAGAACAGAGACACGGGCGCGAAGCAAGGAGACACCUACCAACCGCCACUGCAAGCCACAAUGAGGUCAAGGGUUUUCUCCUUUCUCAUCUAUCCACACUCCUCCUUUGUGGUAAAGAAGAAAGGGGCUUAUCUACUUCAUCUAGUGCCAUCAUCGAGCUCUGAUCAUUUUCUCCAACCAAUCAUCCAUCGUCGGCAUUCAUCAUCAUAGAUCUUAGCUGAGAUGAUCAUCGGAGUUAUGAGGGUGAUAGGGCUUUUCCAUCACCUUCUGAAUUCUACAUCAACCUAUUCAGAUCAUCACCCCAUUUUCAUUUCAGUGUAGCGAUAUCUCUGAUCAACUUCCUCUAAUUCUCUUUACAACCACUCCGAUUAGAACGAGCUAGGGUUUGAUUUGUAAGCAUCAUCAGUAUUAAGGUUUCAUUUAUGGUUGUAUGUUGCUUCCUUUCAUGUGAUCAAUGUGAUGAGGCCAUGCUCUCUUAUACACUCCCAUUUGAAUGCAAAUUCAUUCUUAGUUUA